UACGUAGGGGGCUAGCGUUGUCCGGAUUUAUUGGGCGUAAAGAGCGUGUAGGCGGCCAAGUAGGUCCGGUGUGAAAACUCGGGGCUUAACCCCGAGCCUGCAGUGGAUACGGGCAGACUAGAGGUAGGUAGGGGAGAAUGGAAUUCCCGGUGUAGCGGUGAAAUGCGCAGAUAUCGGGAGGAACACCGGUGGCGAAGGCGGUUCUCUGGGCCUUACCUGACGCUGAGGAGCGAAAGCGUGGGGAGCAAACAGG
rnacentral:rRNA from 1 species